CGGUGGGGACCUGGUCCGGGGAGAUGAAGUGGAUGUGGGUGUCCACGCCGCCGGCGGUGAGGAUUUUCCGUUCCCCGGCGAUGAUCUCGGUGCUGGCGCCGAUCACAAUGUCCACGCCGUCCGUGAUCUGCGGGUUGCCGGCUUUGCCGAUUUUGAGGAUGUGGCCGUCCUUGAGGGCAAUAUCCGCUUUGUAGAUUCCGGUGCUGUCCAGGAUCACGGCGUUGGUGAUCACGGUGUCCGGGACGUCCUCAUCGCGGGUGGCCUGGCCGUUCUGGCCCAUGCCGUCGCGGAUCA
rnacentral:sRNA from 1 species